GCACAGAAAAGCAAAGGGCCUAUUCAAGGCAAACCUCUUCAGGAAUGCGUCUUCUAAAGGAAGCUUUUGCUUGUGUCAGGACAUGGAGUCAUCCUCAGAGGAUCAGUCAGUUUGGGAACUCCAUGACACUGGUGCUUGAAUCUCUGGGGGGGUGUGCUUUGACACACAGCUGGGAGCAAUGACUGAAGAAUG